UCUGGAUUUGAAUUUGGAUUCUCAUUGAAGCAUUUCUCCUCGUAUGAGUAGCUCUUUCAGGAAUCUGGAGAGGAAGACUUGGGACAUUUCUGGGUCUUUUGUCUAAAUGCAAUCAAUGAGAUAAAAAUGCCACCCUUACUUUUAACAUUCAUUGUAAUGUCUGUGUCCCCUUCUCUGCACAGAGUCUUCAUGAGUGGUGAUGGAGGGGCAUCCCAACCCUCUUCUAUGUUUGAAGAAGUCAGGACCACCAAGGCAUCAUCGGGCACCUCUGUGAAAGGGAUCUGUAUCUGUAUCAAGAUACUCUGAAGAAUAGCAACUACCCUUG
rnacentral:lncRNA from 1 species